UUAUUUAGUGUUCUAUACACUUCUUGAACC
rnacentral:piRNA from 1 species